UGGAGCUGGGUGAUUGACACGUCUAUAGAACCGUCAGAGCCAGUAGAAUCGACGGACAGCAUCAAAAUCCCUCCCACGGACACCAAUGCUAUGUGUGAAGGGGGAAAUCCACUGUGAGGCCUUUUUUCCCGGACGCCAUUUGACAUGCGACUUCCGCCUGUCGGACCAGGCGGAUGACCAGGCGGAUUAAUAUCUUGAAAUGACGAGCGGUCUUUGUGCUGGCUAACGGAAGCGGAUUUAUGGAUCAAAACACAACUUCUCCUGCAAAUCCUUCGACGUUGUCUGAAGAGGAGGUACGCCAAUGUGACAGUGGACACUGACACCCUUCAUCACCACCUUCCCCUCUUUAUGCAAUAGCGGCGGCGUGGCCGGAUGCCAUGGGCUAGAUUUGCUUCCACUGUCUGAGGACCCCUGGGUGUCGUUGCCAGAGCUCAGGUACAUCUUGUCCACUUGUUUGAGCGCCUCGUUCAGGUAGUUCUGGAGUGAGGUCAUGGCGGCGCAGAUGGCCGGAGAGCCAAAGCCGUGAGUGAUGAGGCUGAAGUGGGUCAGGCAGCCCUGGAUUCCCGGCUCCAGGAUGGGCGCCGGCCGAGAGUUCCCCAGAGGUGAUCGGUCCUGAGUGAGCAGCGAAUGGUGUUUGGAUAAAGCCGCAAGACGGUGUGCAGUCACUCGCAGCAUGCAGAGGAGAUUGACGUUCCCACGUUCUCACAAUUUUGGAGGGACAUUCCAUCCCCUGCAAACAGCAAUUACACCCGAGAAGGCGCGAUAUGAAACGUACCGAGAUGAGUGACAGGGGCAUACCUUCUACGAGUGAGGGGGACAGCCUGUGGCGUAAUGAUCGGCUGGGAAACAACGAGACGUGGGCGAUUGAGGAUUAUCUUCAUUUUGCGUUGUCGAGACCAUAAAGAGCAUCUCUUUGGUAAAACCAUCAUCCAGUAAAAGCUUCCAAACUGGAACCAGUCGCAGUUUUGGAGAAACCCAACCAGCCUUGGCCUCGUUGCUCAUUAUUAAUCGCAGGUUCUUUCAGAAGCGGAACACGCGGCGCUGCGCGAUCAGAACCAGGUGAUUGUCGUGGGAAGUAGAUAAUCAAAGAAACGCUGAAGGAUAAACGAAUGCUGCAGGUUUCAAAUGAAGAAAGAGUGAACUCACCCUCCAGUCUAUCCUCUCCAGUACAGACAUCUGAGAGGCUCCGGUCGCAGCGAUCCCACCGAGACGCAGCGGUUGAGUGAAACCGGCGGAGUUUCACGUCGGCGACUUCACCUGGCGGCCGCGCAGUGCGCAUGCGCCGUCCAGUGUGAUACACCUGAGCUGGGCUCAAAUCAAAACAAAUUCUUCCACGAUUUAAAAAAAAAGAUAUAUAUAUAUAUAUAAGGCAUUUAUUCUGUAUAUAUUAUAACCAAGAUGCAUAUUCAAAUGGAUAAAUGUGCAGGGAAAAGAGCUUAAUGUAUUAAAAGUUUAUUUUAUCAUGUGAAAUAAUGUAGCUAAAUAAGAUACAUGGAUUUAUACCUAAUCUCAUAAUUAUCUGCUAUUGUUGAGUAGAAAAAAAAGAAACAAUGUCAUAGAGGCUACAGUUUAAGAGAAUGUGGAGAUGAGAGAAGAAGAAAAAAAAAAAGACGUGGGGGAAUUUUCAAGAUGAGGUAAUUCCACCCCCCAAAGCCACAUCGCCCCGGGGCUGACCGAAAGAAUCUGCUUUCAAAAGCCACUGGAGCUUUUUAAAGGCCCAAAAUGGCUCCUCCUGUUAUCUGAUCUCCCAAAUACUUCAGCUUCAACUAAUGAACAGAUCAAAGUGUCCUUUUGCUGUGCGGCUGAGGAAAGUCGCUUACACACAUCUCGUGUAUGAGAACAAUAAUAAUAAUAAUAACCUCACCUUUUCUGAUGUGCUGCCACGACACCUGCCAUAAAACAGUCUCACUAAACAAUGUAAUUUCAGAUAAUGAGGGGAAAUGAUGAGGAGACGACGGUGUUUUCUGAAAACAUUAAUCUAAUCCCAGUGUCAUUAAUUGCAAAAUAGCAGCUGUAUGAAUAAUUGAGAAAAGGAAAGAGAGAGAGAAAAAAAGCUAUGGAACAGUUGGGCCUAUGAUUUCUAAUUUCAUUUCAUUUCCACAUAGUAAUUUUGUACCUUACCUUGUCUUGUCUUAGUGAAUACAAUUUCAACAUUAAUGUUGAUUUUUUUUAAAUUACAUUAUGUUAUUUAUGCUUAAGUGAAAGUAAGGAGCCAGAUAAAAAAAUCAGAUCCACAGCCUGUGAGUUUUUCUCUCUCCACCAUACAGUAAAUAAAGCUUAAACAUCUAUUCAGAGGAAACAAAUCAAUAUCGGUGCUGCUGUAAUUAUGGGGCCACAUAAAGUGAAUAAUAUGCUUUGGGGGAAAAAAAUGGUAAAAGAACCCUAAGUGUUGUUAGAAAUACGCAUCUACCUUUUUUUCUCUCUUGUGCAAAUACACAGUUUAUGGUUAGUGAUGUGAGGUCGAUUAAAGAAAAAAAAUGUUUACACAA